rnacentral:rRNA from 1 species
UACAUGGGGUGCAAGCGUUGCUCGGAAUUAUUGGGCGUAAAGCGCGCGUAGGCGGUUACUUAUGUCGGAUGUGAAAGCCCUCGGCUUAACUGAGGAAGUGCAUUCGAAACUGGGUAGCUAGAGUACUAAAGAGGGUCGCGGAAUUCCCGGUGUAGAGGUGAAAUUCGUAGAUAUCGGGAGGAACACCGGUGGCGAAGGCGGCGACCUGGGUAGAUACUGACGCUGAGGCGCGAAAGCGUGGGGAGCAAACAGG